AUUGAACGCUGGCGGCAGGCUUAACACAUGCAAGUCGAGCGGGGUGAUGGUGCUUGCACUAUCACUUAGCGGCGGACGGGUGAGUAAUGCUUAGGAAUCUGCCUAUUAGUGGGGGACAACAUCUCGAAAGGGAUGCUAAUACCGCAUACGUCCUACGGGAGAAAGCAGGGGAUCACUUGUGACCUUGCGCUAAUAGAUGAGCCUAAGUCGGAUUAGCUAGUUGGUGGGGUAAAGGCCUACCAAGGCGACGAUCUGUAGCGGGGCUGAGAGGAUGAUCCGCCACACUGGGACUGAGCCACGGCCCAGACGCCUACGGGAGGCAGCAGUGGGGAAUAUUGGACAAUGGGGAGAACCCUGAUCCAGCCAUGCCGCGUGUGUGAAGAAGGCCUUAUGGUUGUAAAGCACUUUAAGCGAGGAGGAGGCUCUUUUGGUUAAUACCCAAGAUGAGUGGACGUUACUCGCAGAAUAAGCACCGGCUAACUCUGUGCCAGCAGCCGCCGUAA
rnacentral:rRNA from 1 species